GAAACUUGGAAAGAAUGAGAGAAAAGUCAAUUAUAUAAGGAGAGGGAGUGGACACGUGUCGAGAUACGGAGGAGGAGAAGAGCUUCUAGAACACACGUGGGUGGAUGACGCUGCCGGGACACGUUUCGCAAGUAGAACUCCGUUGCUGACGUGGCGAUGAGUUUGAUGUUGUCAUUGCUUACGUCUGUCGUUUCUGGGGGUCCACUCACUUGUCGUUAGAAUCCAAAUCCGACCGGUCCGAUACGACCGAACCCCUGGGCUCUAUCUUACUAUGGAUUCUUCGUUUCCGGUCGGUGGAUCUCCGGUCCCACUGCCUAGUUCCUCCGUUUAUAUUUUUUUUUUGU